UGAGGAACAUGACCUUCGGCGGGGGAUAGCCGGCCCAACGGCCGGGUAAUACCGCGUACGACCACAUGGGGACAUCCCUGAGUGGUGAAAGCAGCAAUGCGCCGAUGGAGUGCCUCGCGGCCUAUCAGCUAGUUGGUGAGGUAACGGCUCACCAAGGCGACGACGGGUAGCUGGUCUGAGAGGAUGGCCAGCCACAUUGGGACUGAGACACCGGCCCAGACCUNUACCGGGAGG
rnacentral:rRNA from 1 species